ACAAGAUACCCUGUGCCCAGGUGAUGAUAUGGGAUCAGCUGCCCCAUGCCACAUACAGAAAUCUACUCAACAUGGACGACGGUCUUGAAUGAAUUGAGACCUGGUGGGGUAAAUGCAUUGCCCGAAGCCAUGUGAUUAAGUAAAGGAAGCCAAGAGCUGAAGGCCGGCUGUCCUACUCCAAUGUCCAAGGUCCUGGCCUGCCCUGAUACAAGAAGGAACUCACUAACCACAGGAAUGACCUGAAUCUGUUGUGGAGGCUGGGACACUCCCUACCUUUGUCACCUGUCAACAGCUUACCUUGUAAUCACAAGGACAAUUAAACUUCAGCAGACACCUUGGAGUGGGACAUUUAAACUGUAGAGGGCUCCACAUGAGCUUCUGGAUGUAAAUGGGGCCUCCAUAAAACACACUGUGGGGAUGCUCAGAAAACAGGUCUUAUGUAAGGACUAAAAGACACCUGAGAGAGCUAGACCAGCCACACUGAGCAUCCUGCUGUCCGUGGGACCUCUCGGGAACACUUGACAUGAAACUUCUCCUGCCCUUUUGAAGGCCCUUUGGCUUCUAUGCCAGUUACUUUUCUGUCACUGCGAUAAAAUUCCACGACCAGAAGCAACUUCAGGAAGAAAGAGUUUCCGGAUCCAGAGGGGCAUAUCCACCAUGGCUGGAGAAGGCACAGAGAGGUGACAGGAGCAAGGAAGGUGGCUGAGCUUCAAUCCUAAGGUUGAGUGAGAGACUACACACUCUCAAAGCCUGUUUCCAUUGAACUUCCUCCAGCAAGACUUCCCCUUUUUCUACAUUGCCCCAGUCCUGGAGAACAGUCUCUUAAAUUAACACACGUCACUAAUAAGCGUGCUUUUCCCUGACCGUGCCCUUCCUUCCCCAGCAGUCACCAUGCAAGCUCUUUGAAGUCUUCCCACCUUUCCGAGUCUGCGUCUUCCUUUCUGUUUCUCUCCGAUGCUAGCCAGAGCCUAAUCACCCUUCCUCUGGGUUCCUGGGGCUUUUUCACCUCUCAGAAACACCUCCCAGUUGCCAUGUGGCUGCUUGUUCAUGCCCCUUUCUCUUUUCUCCAUGUCCCUCCUCCAGGCAGCUGCCAGGAUUUACAGUUUGCCGGCCCUACGGUGUGACUUUUCUUUUUAAAUCCAGAUAUAAAAUGUUCCUGAGCUUUAAAAAUAAAUACACUUCCCCUUGAGUUGUCAAUUGCCAAUUUAAAUUGUCAACACCUAGCUUAUUAUGGUUGAGUCUGGCCAGACUGGUUGAACAGAUGGAUGGAUGGAUGGAUGGAUGGAUGGAUGGAUGGAUGGAUGGAUGGAUGGA
ensembl:lncRNA